UAAGGAACGACCUUUCCAAGGCACAUAGGCCAUCGUUCGUUAUACUUCUGUAAGGAAGACAGUUUGUAGGAUAAUUAUAUUUUCUUAUUUUGAGUGUAAAUUUUAUAGAGAUGUCCCCAGUUCCAGUCGGCCCAAAACACGUCCAACUCUUAUUUAAAUGGUUGCCAUCAUUAUCAGUGUUUGGAGGAUCAGCAGCAGCCGUGGGGUUGUAUUUGUCUGAGUGGAGGUUAAUCUCUGAUUACAUCCCUUACUACAAUGGGAAAUUUAAAGAAGAAUAAAAAUUUUAGAUUGCUAAAUGUUCAUCAGUAGAUUAUCAGCCGAAUCCUCAAGACCACCAGCCAAUCUAAAAAUCUGUUAAUUUAUAUUGUAAAUAUAUACAUCCUUUGUUUCAAAAUGUAAAA